rnacentral:rRNA from 1 species
AUUGAACGCUGGCGGCAUGCUUUACACAUGCAAGUCGAACGGUAACAGGCCUUCGGGUGCUGACGAGUGGCGAACGGGUGAGUAAUGCAUCGGAACGUACCCAGAGGUGGGGGAUAACGCAGCGAAAGCUGUGCUAAUACCGCAUGUGAUCUGAGGAUGAAAGCGGGGGACCGAGCAGCAAUGUUUGGCCUCGCGCCUUUGGAGCGGCCGAUGUCGGAUUAGCUAGUUGGUGGGGUAAAGGCCUACCAAGGCGACGAUCCGUAGCUGGUCUGAGAGGACGACCAGCCACACUGGGACUGAGACACGGCCCAGACUCCUACGGGAGGCAGCAAUGGGGAAUUUUGGACAGUGGGCGCAAGCCUGAUCCAGCAAUGCCGCGUGCGGGAAGAAGGCCUUCGGGUUGUAAGCCGCUUUUGGCAGGAACAAACGGUGUCCGCUAAUACCGGGCGCUAAUGACGGUACCUGCAGAAUAAGCACCGGCUAACUACGUG